AAACAUGUGGUUUGUGAAGAGAAAGAAUGAAAGUGUGGGGGAUGAGGAACCUUUGAUUUCUGAGUGGCCGCAUGAUCACCUAUAUAAUCGAGUAGCAGCUAUGCUGUGUUCAGUUACUAAAGGUGAGGCCAUAAUGAGAAGGCAGCCAUUGGCAGUCCAGGAAGAGUGCUCUCACCAGAAACCAAAUUGGCUAGCACCUUGAUCUUGGACUUCGCAGCCUCCAGAACUGUGAGAAAUAAUUUUCUGUUGUUUAAGCCAUUCAGUCUAUGGUAUUUUGUUUUGGCAGCUCGAUCUAACUGAGACAGUUGGUUAAAUCUAAUCAGAGACUUGGUAGGAUUUGUAAGUGCAACGCAAACGAGCACCAGUAGGCAGCAGAGCCAGUUAGCAAGCCCAAGAGAGAAGAAAUAUCCCUGGUAGUGGUGGUGGUCCCAUCCAGGCACACUGCUUGCUGUACCAGUUGUUGUGGUUAUCUCUUCAACCAAUAUGAACCUUUACCCAAAUUUAUUUGUUUAUUUGUUUGUUUGUUUAGGCUGUAGCAUGCAGCAACCUGAUGUGAGAUCUCAGUUUCCAGACCAGGAAUUAAACACAGGCCACAGUGGUGAAACACUGAGUCCUAACCACUAGACCACCUAGGAACUCCUAAAUUUAAUUCUCAUGUUGAGACUGAUGUUGCAGACAUGACCCAAGAACAUGUGAAUAAGUUUAUUACUCAUAUAAUGAGGCUUUCUGAGGAGGGUAGGGCAGGCUCCCAAAGUGACCUAAAAAAUGUUCUGAAAGAGCAGAGAAAAAAGACUGGCUAGAUUUUUAUUAUAAGUAAGAGGUGGGACCGCAUAAUUUGAACUUCUUGCCAAUGCCAAAGAAGAGAGCACCAAGGCUUUCUUAUCACCUUAUACAGAUGUGGCCCUUGAAAGCUGUCAGCAGCAUCAAAAAUGGACAAAGCUCUUUAUUACAGAUGUUUUAACCGUCUAAUUCAUACUUCUUUACCUUUUUUGUCUCCAGGUUUGAAUUUGUUUUUAUUUCUCUUGCUUGGGAUCCAUAGAUUCCCAGAUGUGUAUAUCUGAUAUUUCAUCAGUUCAGGAACAUCUCAGAUAUUAUCUCUUCCACUAUUGCUGCUGCCUCAUUCUCUCCUCUUAUUCUGAAACUCAGAAUCAUCGUGUAUUAGCCUCUACCUGUCUUCUACCCUCUCUUCCACAUUUUUAAUCAUGCUAUCCAGGCAUUGUCCAUACUAUUUCAUGACCACUAUUCAAAUUCAGUUAUAUCCAUUUUCUUGUAUUAAUUGAUUAUUUAAAAAAUAUCAUUUCCAUUUGCAGAAAUUUUAAUUAUUACUUUUAAUCUAAUUAGUCACAUUUUAAAAUUUCAUUGUCCAUCUUUGCAUUUCAAUUCCUUUCAUCUAUUCAGUUUGAUAAUAACAGAACGAGAAUUUUUUUCUGUGUAUUUUGCUUUGUGACUUUGCCAUCUGUCUCUCACUCAUAGUAAUUUGUUUUCCUUUCAUGUCUGACUGUGAAGUUAUAUUUUUUAGAAGUUUAUCUGUGAAAAUUCUUUGAGUUCUAGGAGGAAAAUGGGUUCCUCUAGAGUGUGCUAAAAUUUGCUUAUUUCAGGAAUGUGUGUCAUCAGUCUAGGGUUACUGUAUUAAAUUCUUCACCUAAAGUUUUGUGGACCACCCAUGUAGCCUGCAUUUUCAUUCCAAAUCUGCUUUGAGGGAAUAUUUUGGGACUAGGAAUUCUGGGAUGAUUUAUUUUGAAUUCACUCCUAUAAUGAAAUUGCAGGACCACAGGCUUUGUUUGCUGUUCUCAAGGCCCCUUGGGGCCUUAAAGAUCAAAGUUUAAGUUCACCUCCUUCAUCAAAUGACCUCAAGAUAAAAGGCAAAUAAUGUGCCCAGAAACUUAUCUUGGUUCUGUCCACAAAAAACAAACAAACAUACAAACAAAUAAAUAAAUAACACAAUGUGAAAGUUGUGAGUUAACAUAUUUGGGGCAAAAUGAGGACUAUAGCCUAUAGCUAUCUCAGAUAGCUCUGUGGUACCGCCUCCAAAGAAGUAAGGGGAAAGAUCAGUACUAUAUAUGAUUUUAGCGAAGGGGGUUUAUGUGUGAUCAAGUGCAUGUUUUGACAGAGGCUUGCUGCUAUGCAUGAGGAGCAGAUGUCACCAUUAACGAUUUUAGUGCUUUGCUAGAUAUGAGAACAUGCAAGAAUUUGGGCGCAUAAAAUCUUCUCCUGAAUAUAUCUAACUACCUGAAGCCUGUUCUGCCAAUUUUUCCCAGAACACAGAGUGCCUCAUUCCUGAUCUCCACCCUGAACUUCUUUCAAGGUGUGAUGAAGGUCACCCGCUGCAAUGACUAGUGACUUAAUCCUUGUGGAGGCAGAUGGCAAGUGUCAAUUUUUAGUCGACAGUUCAUUCCUUCACUUAAUGUUCUUUAAAGUUUAUCAAUGCAUUUAAGCAAAUGUAUGAUGUUUGGCUGUUUUCAGUAGAACCAUCAGUUACUAUGCUUAGGUUAACUUUCAAUUUUAUAUGCAUUAUUAUUAUUAUUUAUAAUUCUUAUAAACAUCAACAAGAGGACUUUUUGAGUGAAUGAGGUUUUUAAAACCCUGGUUAUGUUAAUUUGGGCCUUCCUUAAGUGUCUAGGAAAAUGAUUUUUACAGAAUGCACAUAUGUGGUAAUUGGUUUUAUUAUUUUAAAAAUCCGCUUUAACAGUUGAUUUUAGAAUACUCUCUUUGGAUUUUUAUUACAAAGUAAUAAUUAUUAAAAAAAAAAUACUCUUCACCUGCAGUAUACCUUAUUUAUGGAAUUAUUUCUGUUUAGGAUAUAAAUGGAUAACCAGCUUUUUUGCCUCUUAUGCAGUAAAAUAGCAAUUUAAUGUCUCAGACUCUGUAUACAUGUAAAAAGAUAACUCAUGUAUAUAGGCUGUUAUAUUAAGAAAAAGCAAUGAAUGUGCCCCCUCCGUCUCACAUCUGUGUCUUUUGUAAUGCCCUCACACAGUGAGUCUGGGUUUGGUCAUAUCGAAGUUUUGAUCAGUGAGGCAUUUGCCAAAGUGAUGCAGAGACUUGACACAUUAGUGUACUUCCGCACUGAGGCUCACCCUCCCAGAAUUCUCCCACUUGGAACUCAGGAGCCAUUUUAUAAGUCAGUACUGCCUCUACUGCUGGAGGCAGGUCUUAUGAAGAGGCCCUGGAGAAGGCAGCAUCACAGGAAGAGCUGGCAGCUGGAAGAAUAGCUGAGUUGACUGGAGCAGUCAACUCCAAGGACCAUGGACAGAUAGAAGAGAGACCAUCUUGGAUCUUCCAGCCCAGCCUGUCUAGAUGAACACAACCUCAGAGUGAACCCAUUGGAUCAGAAAAAGAGCCCUGUCAACUUCAGAAACAUGAAAAUAGUAUAUCCCUGUUGUUUUAAGCUGCUAAGUUUUAGAAUGGUGUAUUAUUCCAGCAGCUUUAUAUAAGAAACAUCACAUAAGAUAUUUAAUUCAGACCUGGGUACUGAGGAAUUUUGCUUUCUCAUGUAAAUGUAUUACACUAAAAGCCAAAAUAAGUAUACAUUUCUUUCAUUCUACAAUAUACUCUUAAUUUCCAAAGUACUUUGAAAUCUUUACUAAAGUAUAAACUUGAGACCUUUUUCAUACCAUCCCUCUCUUACCAAAAUCUUAUUUGUAAUGAAAUCAUUUAACAAAACGCAAAUAAUUCCAUUAUUAUUUAAAUCUAUUUUAAGUGAAAUGCUAUGUAAAUCUUUGCUUUAACUGCUAAGAGCUGUCAUUACAGGAUUUAUAGUCUAUAUUGAUUAAUAAUACCAGGCUGUGUUUCACACUCCUUAAUGAAAUUUUGACCUUAUUUGCUCUUAAAAAUAUCUCCUCUCUCAAAAGCUGUUAUUCUGCUGAAUGUUUUUUCAAAUGCUUGAGGAGUCAUACUGUGUAAUAUUGGCUAUACUUCACAGUGUGCAACAUUAUAUUCCAUGUGUGUUUUACUAUUAAGUGAUUUUAUUUUGUAGUCUUGCUAGUACCAUCAUAUAAUUAAAUUGUAAGCUCAUGUGGUGUAAAGGUCAGAUACAUUAAAUGUACAAAAGCACAUGCAAUGUGUGUUUAGGCUUCUACUUUUUGCACACUGACAUCAGCUUAGUAAGGAAUGAAAAAAAUCACAUAUGUUACAAUUGAAAAUUCUGGUCUUUGGAAUAAGAUUUUCUAGCAUCCUGUUGUUAAAAAAAAAAAAGAAAACUUAAUAGAAAUUCUUUUAAAAUAUUCUGUAUUUUCUUGGAAUACUUGUCGAGAACACACAUUCUUGUUGGAUAUUUUCAACCUAGUUAUGAACAAGACUGAUCAGUCUAGUUUUUGGCUGCUUUAUUUUUUCUUAGCAAUUUCUCCUGUAAAUACAUCUUGAUUUUUUGCUUUAUGGUUGCUUUCACAGUAAAAAUAUACUAUAACUUUCUUUCUGAUGGUCAUAAAUUUGGAAGAUUGUAUCUGACCUAUUCUUUGUAUUUUAGGGUUUUUUUAAGUGGACCCAAUAAUUUCAAACCAUUUCUCUUUUUUUUUCUUUUUAUGGAUGCACUUGAAGCAUAUGGAAGUUCCCACACUAGGGGUCAAAUCAGAGCUGUAGCUGCAGUCUGUGCCACAGCCAAAGCAACACCAAAUCUGAGCCACAUCUGCGACCUGUGCUCCAGCUUUCAGCAAUGCCAGCUCCUUAAUCCUCUGAGCCACAAUAGGAACUCCCAGAGUAUUUCUAAAAGUGUUUCUUUAACCUUCAAGGAAACAUUUUUGUACAUAUAAAUAUACUUAUUCUGUUUUACCCUUGGCCGUGGAGAUUCAAGAGAAAUCUGGGCUUAUUCAGUCUUGGGCAGUACUAUUAUUUGAUAGACUACCAGGAUAUUGAUAUAUAUAGCAUAAUAUUGAUAUUUUUAAUUAAUAUAUUUAAUAUUAUAUUGUCAUUAAUAAUUAUAUUGAUAUGAAUACUUCUUAGUAAAAGUAUUCUAGUUAUUCUUUGAGAACAUUCUGAAUUACAUGUAAAUGGAGCAGGUGCUAUAUAACAUAAUUAAAUCAUUUAUACUACAUUACCUUUCAACAAUAUAGAAGAGCAUUUAAAGGUAACAUAUCCAUUUAUUUAGAAUAUGAAAGUUACCUUAGAGUAGAUAUGAAUCUUACAGCUUUAUUUCUUUACCUGAUAAUUGAUAUCUUCUACCAAAGAUCUUCCUAACUAAUGAGUCCAUGAAGAGGUUUCCUGAUGUUAAAUUAUAUAUAUAUGUGUAUUCAUUUGUGAAGAAUGUCCAAGGCUUUCAUCAGAUCCUCAAAGAUUCAUAAUUGUAAAAAUGUUACAAUUCAUAAUUAUAAAAACAUUACAAUGUAAAAACCUUGAUUAUCCAUUUCAGGCUUUCCAAUCUAGAUGUGGGUACUUUUUCUGAUAAAGAAUGUGUGAUUUCUUUAAAGUCUCAGGGUAAGCUUAAAUGUAUUGCCAUAUUGUUUUCUUUCACCACUUUUGUUCUCGCCCUUAGCAUCAAUGAGAAAAAAUCAAAUUAUAGCACUCCAGUCCUUCAAGUAAUUGAAAAUAACUACUUUGAUUUUUCUCAUCAAAGAGAAAUUUGCAAUUUUGUAAUUUGUAAAUGGUAAAGACAGUUGCAUAAAGUUGUUCAUAAUGUAUCUUUAUGUAUUUCAUGUUAAACAACAAAGCUCUAGUAAGCAAAGCAGUAUGAUAUUGGCACACAGACACAUAGAUCAGUGGAACAAAAUAGCUCAGAAAUGAACCCAUUCUUAUAUGGUCAAGUAAUCUAUGAAGAAAGAAGUGAGAAAAUACAAUGGGCAAAAGACAGCAUCAUCAAAAAAUGGUGUGGGGAAAACUGGACAUGCAGAAGAACUAAAUCAAUCUAGUUCCCCACAUCACAUGGAAAAAAUAAAUUCAAAAUGGAUUAAAGACAUAAGACCUGAAACCCUAAGAAUCCUAGAAGAAAACAGACUGUACACUCUUUGGUAUUGGUCUUAGCAAUAUUUAUCAGUACAUGUCUCUUCAGGCAAGGGAAGGCGAAAAUAAACAAAGUACCUCAAAGGAAACUGUCAAAAAUGAAAAGGCUGCUUAAUGAAAGGGAGAAGAUAUUUGCAAGCAAUAUAUCUGAUAAGGGGUUAAUAUUAAAAACAUACAAAGAUAUCAGACAAUUCAACAUCAAGAAAACAAUUAAUUAAAAAUGGCAGAGGACUCUAAUAGGCAUUUUUCCAAAGAAGACAUAUAGAUGGCAAACAGAUAAAUGGAAAGAUGCUCAAUAUUACUAGUCAUCAGGGAAAUGCAAAUCAAAAACCACAAUGACAUACCAUUUCACAUCUGUCAGAGUGAUUAUUAUCAAAAAAGCAAAUAACAAAUGUUGGCAAGUGUGGAGAAAAGUGAAUCCUUGUGCAGUGUUGGUGAGAAUGUAAAUUGACACUGCCACUGUGGAAAACAGUACGGAGGUUCCUCAAAAAAUUAAAAAUAGAACUAGCAUUUGAUCUAAUUCUUCUGGGUAUUUUUUCAAAGGAAAACAAAAAAAAAAUACUAAUUUGAAAGGAUAUUUUCACCCUAUGUUCAUUACAGCAUUAUUUCCAAUAACCAAGAUACAGAAGCAAUCUAAAUGUCCAGUGACUGAUGAAUGGAUGAAGAAACAUAUAUAUACACACACAAACAUAUACCUACAUGGAAUAUUACUCAGCCAUAAAAAGACUAAAAUUUUACAAUUUACAACAACAUAGAUAGGCCUGCAGGAUUUUAUGCUAAAUUAAAUAAUCAGACAGAAAAAGACAAGUACUGCAUAUUUUCACUUAUAUGUGGAAUCUGAAAAAUAAAACCAAUGAACAAACACAACCAAAGAGAAACAGUUUCAUAGAUAAAAAGAAUAAACAGGUGGCUACCAGAGGAAAGAGGAAUGAGAGGAUGACUAAAUAGGUGAUGGAGAUUAAGAGGUACAAACUCCCAGCUAAAAAAUAAAUAGGUCACAGGAUGAAAUGUGCAGCAUGGAGACUAUAGUCAAUAAUACUGUAAUAUCUUUGUAUGGUAACAGAUGGUAACUAGACUUAUAAUGGUGAUCAUUUUGUCAUGUAAAGAAAUUUCAAAUCCAUGUUGUGGACCUGGAACCUGAAGAGUACUGUGGGUCAAUUUUACUUCAAUUUUUAAUCACUUCUUUAGGUUUCUUAUGUCUGUAAGAUUUGUAGUGAUAUUAUUUUCUUUUAGUUCCUAAUGUUGAUUACUUUGAACUUUAAUUUCUAUUAAGUAUUCUCAUCAAGGUUUUAUCAAUUUUAUUAGACUUUUCAAUAAAUUAAUAUUUGGCUAUAUCGAUCUUUUCUAUUGCAUAUUAAUAUUCUGUUCUAUUAAUUUCUGUUAUCACUAAUACAGUUUUCUAUUAUCUUUGUGUUUAAUUUGCUCUUUUUAAAAAAUCUUUUUGAGCAAGAGAUAUAGAUCACUGAUUUGCAGCCCUUUUUAAAAAUGUACUUUAAGGUGACGAAUUUCCCUUUAAGAGUAGUUUAAGCUGCAUAUAUUACAAGCUUUGAUAUGCCGUAUUUUUAUUAUUUUCAGUUAUACUGUAGGCUUUGAUAUAGAUAAAGUUCAAAAACAAGUGUGGGUAAUCUGCAAAAUGAUGAGGGUGAUUAUUUACCUUUUCAAAGGAUGGCUGGGUGGUGAUGGAGAAUGAUCUAGGGUUCUGAUAUGUUGUUUCUUGACCUGACUUAUGAUUCUUUGAGCAUACAUACUUUGUAACAGUUUCUUGAGCUGUGUGCUUAUGAUUUGCAAAUUAAAAAAAAAAAAAAAA
rnacentral:lncRNA from 1 species